GAUAAACGCUGGCGGCGCACAUAAGACAUGCAAGUCGAACGAACUUAAUACCUUGCUUGCAAGGUAAGCGGUUAGUGGCGGACUGGUGAGUAACACGUAAGGAACCUGCCUAUUAGAGAGGAAUACCAGUGAGAAAUCACUGCUAAUACCUCAUAUGCCUUAGUUAUCGCAUGAUAAUAGAGGGAAAGGAGCAAUCCACUAAUAGAUGGCCUUGCGCCUGAUUAACUAGUUGGUGAGAUAAAAGCCCACCAAGGUAACGAUCAGUAGCCGAACUGAGAGGUUGAACGGCCACAUUGGGAUUGAGAUACGGCCCAGACUCCUACGGGAGGCAGCAGUCGGGAAUAUUGCGCAAUGGAGGAAACUCUGACGCAGUGACGCCGCGUAUAGGAAGAAGGUUUUCGGAUUGUAAACUAUUGUCGAUAGGGAAGAAAAAAGACUGUACCUAUCAAGAAAGCUCCGGCUAACUACGUGCCAGCAGCCGCGGUAAUACGUAGGGAGCAAGCGUUAUCCGGAUUUAUUGGGUUUAAAGGGUGCGCAGGCGGCGUGUCAAGCAAGCGGUAAAAUAGCGGGGCUCAACCCCGUCGAGCCGUUUGAACUGGCGCGCUUGAGUUCAGGCGAGGUAGGCGGAAUUCGUGGUGUAGCGGUGAAAUGCAUAGAUAUCACGAAGAACUCCGAUUGCGAAGGCAGCUUACCAGUCUGCGACUGACGCUCAGGCACGAAAGUGUGGGUAUCGAACAGGAUUAGAUACCCUGGUAGUCCACACAGUAAACGAUGAGCGCUAGGUGUCCGGGUCGCAUGAGACUUGGGUGCCCGAGCGAAAGCGUUAAGCGCUCCACCUGGGGAGUACGCCGGCAACGGUGAAACUCAAAGGAAUUGACGGGGGCCCGCACAAGCGGAGGAACAUGUGGUUUAAUUCGAUGAUACGCGAGGAACCUUACCCGGGCUCAAACGACUCAGGAAUAUAUUGGAAACGAUGUAGCCAGCAAUGGUCUGAGUCGAGGUGCUGCAUGGUUGUCGUCAGCUCGUGCCGUGAGGUGUCGGCUUAAGUGCCAUAACGAGCGCAACCCCUACCGCCAGUUGCCAACGGGUAAAGCCGGGAACUCUGGCGGGACUGCCGGCGCAAGCUGCGAGGAAGGCGGGGAUGACGUCAAAUCAGCACGGCCCUUACGUCCGGGGCGACACACGUGUUACAAUGGCAGGUACAGCGGGAAGCCACCUGGUGACAGGGAGCGGAACCCGAAAGCCUGUCUCAGUUCGGAUUGGAGUCUGCAACUCGACUCCAUGAAGCUGGAUUCGCUAGUAAUCGCGCAUCAGCCAUGGCGCGGUGAAUACGUUCCCGGGCCUUGUACACACCGCCCGUCAAGCCAUGGGAGCCGGGGGUGCCUGAAGUACGUGACCGCGAGGAGCGUCCUAGGGCAAAACUGGUGACUGGGGCU
rnacentral:rRNA from 1 species